UACGGGGGGGGGCAAGCGUUGUUCGGAAUUACUGGGCGUAAAGGGCUCGUAGGCGGCCAACUAAGUCAGACGUGAAAUCCCUCGGCUUAACCGGGGAACUGCGUCUGAUACUGGAUGGCUUGAGUGUAGGAGAGGGAUGCGGAAUUCCAGGUGUAGCGGUGAAAUGCGUAGAGAUAUGGAGGAACACCAGUGGCGAAGGCGACUUUCUGGUCUGUAACUGACACUGAGGCGCGAAAGCGUGGGGAGCAAACGGG
rnacentral:rRNA from 1 species